rnacentral:lncRNA from 1 species
AAACAUUUUUAUCUUCUUGGGCCCGAAUCACGUGCGUAUGUCAGGUCCGACCUAAGGCUGGCGCUGUCCCGGCUGCCCCGGGCCCUUCCCGGGAUGGAAGCGCCUCCUCCUGCUCCUCCCGGCUGGCAGCGUCUCUGGCAGACGCGUGCCCGGAGGAGCGGCCGGGCCGGGCCGGCCGGGGGCUGACGCUGUGCCUCCCUCCCGCAGUGCAAGCGCUCCCUGGCCGAGUACACGGACACGGCUGCCCAGCUGCUGCACCACCUGGUAAGAGGCUGAGGGCUCCCCGUAGUGCCAGCACUCACUGGGUGCCAGUGUCCAUCACCAGCAAAUUAUCCCUUUUUUUUUGUUAAACUCACUGCCUAAUAGUCCUACAAAAUAUUAAUUCGUUUCCCCCCCUCCUCUCUGCCUCGUAACUGCUGCAAUUAUAUUGUGUUUUUAUUUUUUCUUGCCAUUUUCUGGCCCCUCACCGGUAGCAGGCUGAGGUAAGUGAGAUCCAUGCCCUGAUGUGCUGAAAUUCCCCUCCCUGGGGCCAAAGCCCGCCUGAUUUGGGAUGUCUCUCUCCCCAGGAGCCAACGGAGCUGUGUGGCCAGCUGGGGCUCUGUGCCUCCCACUCGGCGCUGCCCCUCCACACGCUGCUCGCAGAGAGGGUGAUGCAGGUCCUGAGCAUGCUGGGGGACAGGGUGGGGAGCACUCCGCUGUGUGACAUGUGCCAGUUCACCGUGAAGACAGUGGAGAGCCUGCUGGAGAACAACGUGACAGAGGAGCAGCUGGUGAACGACAUCGAGAAGGUGUGCUACAUGCUGCCCCACGGCGUCAUCGGGCAGUGCAAGGACUUCGUCAACUCCUACG